UACGUAGGGUGCGAGCGUUAAUCGGAAUUACUGGGCGUAAAGCGUGCGCAGGCGGCUUUGCAAGACAGAUGUGAAAUCCCCGGGCUCAACCUGGGAACUGCAUUUGUGACUGCAAGGCUGGAGUGCGGCAGAGGGGGAUGGAAUUCCGCGUGUAGCAGUGAAAUGCGUAGAUAUGCGGAGGAAUACCGAUGGCGAAGGCAGCCCCCUGGGAUAACACUGACGCUCAUGCACGAAAGCGUGGGGAGCAAACAGG
rnacentral:rRNA from 1 species